CUGCCCGGGCUCCGAUAGGAGCGGUCUGGCGGGGAGCGUUGCCGUGACGACGGGAGCUCGUGCCGUGGCGGCGGGCGGCGGCGCGCCCGUGUGUGUGCAGGGGGUGGCGGAGGCGUUGCCACGGAGGCGUUGCCCUGGCACCGCGGGGCCGAGCGGUGCCCUGAGAUGGCGCCUGGCCUCCCCGUAGUGCCGGUGCUGCCAUAUGCCUGGCUUGCCUGCCCCGCUCCCCUUUAAAAGCCAGUGGGCUGCUUUGUUCGGCCACAGAGGCCCAGUUUCGUACGGCCGCCGUUGCUCCGCGGUCCUCAGAACGUCUCCUUGAAGUUGCUGAAGGCAAUGGCAACGGGGAGCGGCAGGUGCUUGUCCCGCAGGUCCUCGUCCGAGGAGAAUGCUGAUGAGGGGGCGAGCUGCUGCGUACCUGCGAGUGCACUGCUGUGCUGCUGCCUCGGGAAGCUCAGUACAAGUGACUGCCCAUCAGUUAUAUCCCUGAGUGAUACACAAGGUUCAUCUGAUUUGUGCUCAAUUCACACUGCAGAGCAGGCGGCCCAGGCUGCAAGUGUUACCAAGCCGCUUCCCUUCCGAGUGCCUUGUUGCUUGUCUGCACACUCACACGACAGUUUUGACAGGAUUAAAAAACCUGAAAAACCCAGGACAGCAGCUUGUGCAAGUGAUCCCAGGCUCGUGUGGGGCAACCAAGAGACCAUCUGGCCCCUCUCACGAGGUGCUGUGACAGCUCGACUACUCCCAAGAACAGCGGCACUGGCCAAGCCCAAGAAAGAUUUUAGCAAGUACCAGCGCAGCUAUGGAAGAGAACUAACAAUCUGGGAGCGACCCCUGAUAGUGAGUUUUGCCUUUCCUUCUGAUCGGCUGCUGAAGUUAUCUGAACCUAAAAAAUACCACCCUGCUUACCUGCUGCAAAGACCUCGCCAAUCCCCUGAGUGGCCUGUGUCACGAGCUGCACUGAGGUAUAAGGCCUCCCCACGGAUCCUGGAGCUUGCCCUGCCUAAAGUCCUGCACCCAGAGUUCCUGCCAGCCAGAGAGGUGCCAGCACGGGUUACGAAUGCUGAGGCCUUGGCUAAAGCAUCCUUACGUUUACAGCUUCUUGCAGAGCCCCCUGUCAGGGAGGCCACCUCCUGCUAUGGCAACAGCGUUCCUGAAUCUGUCAUUUCUCCGGUUUCCAAGUUGGCUCUGGAGGCAGUUGCAAGCCCUCGGAUCCUGGAGCUGGCUAGGGCAAAGGGAUUGCAUCCUGACUACAUGCCCCUGCGGGAUGCUGAGCGGCCAGUAACAAAGGCUGCAAAGCGUGCAGUGGCCACACCAAGGCUGGUGGAACUGGCUCAGCCUCGCAAAAGUGUUUUGGUUUAUCUUCUCUCCAGUGACCAGGCAAAUUGGUGCAGGGGAAUUACAGACCAGAGGAUGCAGAAUCUUUUGGCAGCAUGGACUUGGACCCAGCAAUCACCCCAUUGUCCUUCCUGAUGGGUUUUCUGGUCCUCCUCUCAGCACCAUGGCCAGACAUCACACAAAGCUGGUGAUGAGCAGGAUUCAGAAACAGAAGUAACUGCCGUGCGACCAGCUGGAAAAUUGUAAAGCUAAGCGAAGACCAAGUACGGCCCCUUGCAAGUCAGUGAGUGCUACAGGUCCACCGGAGAGACACCUCCCUACGGAGUGAAAUGUUCACAGGUUGGUGUGCUGUGGAUUCUCCUGCAGCAAGCAUACUUGGAUGCAGUG